ensembl:lncRNA
CUUGGCGCUACAAAUGCCAUGCUCUACCAACUGUGGUACAAAGGACCACAUCAAUGAUGCCUGACCAAAGAUGGUGGAUAAAUAAAGAUCUCCCACUGUCAGUUCCGGUCUGCUUAACAGUGUGGCUCUCUCAUAGGCACCAAUGCAUUAGCAAAUGGGUCUGCUUAGUUCAUUGACUGUAUAUGAACCAGAAAAAAUUAGGGAGUGGGAUGUCUUGCUUCUUCUUCCGUCUCAGGCAUAGGGGUAUAGAUGGGUUAGCUGACAAUGUCACACAAAUUAUGUGUGCACUUCCAUGGGGCAGAGGUCAGUGUGUUGUUGUGAUUUUGGAUGGCCAGAUUGCUGGUAAGAAUUACAAGAACUAGCUCUCUUUCUCACUUUCUUGCUUCUCCAUAAUUUUGGAAGAAAUUAUUAUUUUUCUCACUUUGAGUCAAAUACUCACCACAUUUUAUGCACUGCAGUGCUAGCUAGCUGUAACUUAUGAUUUCAGUACUAGAUAAAUUCUCUCAACCUUUGAUUGGGUGGACAACAUGUCAGUUUAUGCUGCAAGAACUCUGAUAGGUUGGAGGACGUCCUGUGUUUUAUGUUGAAGUCAACAGUAUGUUGAUGUCAUGUAUCAACAGUCUGUUGCCUUGCUGUACCAGUGAGGGUGAAGUCACUACAGUACACACAGUACUGAGCUGGUCAUUUGUGUGGAAGGAAGGACAGCUUGCUUUGGUGUGUGUGUGUGUGGAUAUCCAGGUGUGUAUGGGGGAGAAAGAACAAAGACCGGUGAGGGAGAACAAUAGCACACAACGGUGUAUGUAUAUGUGUGUGUGUGUGUGUGUGUGUGUGGUGGUAACAUCUGGUGCUUGUGGUGUGGUGAGCCCUCAGGCCUGGUGAUAAAUGAUACCUCUCACUGCCAACCUGUCAGCAAGGACCCAGCCAGCCAACGAGGACAGAGCAUAUACACUCUGUUAUAAAGACUACCAAACCUAUACUGCAGAUGGAGUGGGGAGGGAUAUUGCUCAGAUAUAGCUGAUUCAUGCCAGAAAUGACAAAGCCUGGAUAGGUAUUUUACGUAUCAGCUAACCACAUUAUGCUAUAGAAUAUUCUGGGAGAGCCCUGCACUGGCAUGAAUUUUAAGCCCGAAUCAUACCCAUGCCCGUGAUAUUCAAGCCUGCGACAUUUAUAAUCUACCCAGGCCCACCAUUAAUUACCUACCCAGGCCCACGACAUUCAUUACCGACCCAGGCCCGCGACAUUCAGGCCCACGACAUUCAUUACCUACCCAGGCCCACAACAUUCAGGCCCACGACAUUCAUUACCUACCCAGGCCCACGACAUUCAUUACCGACCCAGGCCCACAACAUUCAGGCCCGCAACAUUCAUGAUCUACCCAGGCCUACGACAUUCAUUACCUACCCAGGCCCACGACAUUCAGGCCCACGACAUUCAUUACCUACCCAGGCCCACGACAUUCAGGCCCCACCCGAACCAGGCCUGAUUACUUCUGCAAAUUUAAAGCCUGGCCCUGCCCGAAACCCGAAAUCAUAAAUAACGUCCUCUCUGUCUAUAACUUGCUCCCUGCGAGCAGCUCGCUCUGCAUGCACUCUGUGAGUCGAUGAGUAACCAUAGCAACAGUUCUAGUUGGGCUGUUCUGCUCAAUG